GCAGUCGCCGCGGUAAUACGUAGGUGGCAAGCGUUGUCCGGAAUUAUUGGGCGUAAAGGGCUCGCAGGCGGUUUCUUAAGUCUGAUGAGAAAGCCCCCGGCUCAACCGGGGAGGGUCAUUGGAAACUGGGAAACUUGAGUGCAGAAGAGGAGAGUGGAAUUCCACGUGUAGCGGUGAAAUGCGUAGAGAUGUGGAGGAACACCAGUGGCGAAGGCGACUCUCUGGUCUGUAACUGACGCUGAGGAGCGAAAGCGUGGGGAGCGAACAGGAUUAGAUACCCCAGUAGUCCCUGUCUCUUAUAC
rnacentral:rRNA from 1 species